GUGCACGUUGGCAGCACAUAUACUAAAAUUGGAAUGAUACAGAGAUCAUCAGCAUGACCCUUGUGCAAGAAUAACAUACACAUUUGUGAAGUGCUUCAUAUAUAU
ensembl:snRNA U6 U6 spliceosomal RNA